rnacentral:lncRNA from 1 species
CUGCGCAGAGGGGCCCGGGGAAAGCCGGCCUCACGGGCGGGAGGGAGAGGCUUGAGCGAGGGGCUAGAGCCGCGAGGACUGACCAGCACCAGAGGAUACAAGAGGAGGAGAGAGACCUCACUGGUUCGGGCGACAUUUCACCCCCCCAGCACCCCAGUCGGCACAGCUUCUCACCUGGGGCGGGUGGGUUCUGCACCACCCUCCCACCCUCCUUCCUCCGUGUGGACGAUAGAGCCACAUCCAGCACCACGGACAGCUCCCGGGCGCCUUCAUCUCCUCGUCCUCCAGGCAGCACAAGCCAUUGUGGAAUCUCCACCAGGUGUACAGAACGGUGCCUCUGCGUCCUGCCACUCAGGACCUCUCAAGUCCCCGAUGUGAUGGCUCCUCAGCAUGAUCAGGAGAAAUUCCAUGAUCUUGCUUAUUCCUGUCUUGGGAAGUCCUUCUCCAUGUCUAACCAAGAUCUAUAUGGCUAUAGCACCAGCUCUUUGGCUCUUGGCUUGGCAUGGCUAAGUUGGGAGACCAAAAAGAAGAAUGUACUUCAUCUGGUUGGGCUGGAUUCCCUCUGAUAAGCCUUCCCAGUUGACUGAAAGAUGAGGCUAGGCUCUAGCAAGUUGAAGUCAAACCAGCUCCUUCAAGAAGCUUUGAGCAGAAUGAAGUGGGGAGGACCCAGCUUCCAGCCCAGGAAGCCCACUGUACCUGGAGCCAUCUGGGAUAAGACUUUGACCCAUGACUCCCAUAUCCACAGCCUGUCCAUCCUAGCCCAUCCCAGUUUAUCCUGUAUCAUUUGAGCUGGGAUUCCCACAUCCUCUGAGUUGGAAGUCCCAUCUCAAGUCUUCAAUAAAGACUCUUGAAUAUUGAAUCACAUUA